rnacentral:rRNA from 1 species
GUCGUCAGCUCGUGUCGUGAGGAUGUUGGGUUAAGUCCGCAACGAGCGCAACCCCUAUUGUUAGUUGCCAUCAUUCAGUUGGGCACUCUAGCGAGACUGCCGGUAAUAAACCGGAGGAAGGUGGGGAUGACGUCAAAUCAUCAUGCCCCUUAUGACCUGGGCUACACACGUGCUACAAUGGUUGGUACAACGAGUUGCGAGUCGGUGACGGCGAGCUAAUCUCUUAAAGCCAAUCUCAGUUCGGAUUGUAGGCUGCAACUCGCCUACAUGAAGUCGGAAUCGCUAGUAAUCGCGGAUCAGCACGCCGCGGUGAAUACGUUCCCGGGCCUU